rnacentral:lncRNA from 1 species
CCACCCCACGCUCUCGCCUCUUCUUACAAAUCAUAUUUUUUUUCUUCCAAAAUGCACACAUAAAACUCUAUAUACACAUACCAUAUAGAAAGGGGAAAAUCGAGUAUGAUAUACACACACUUCAUGAUUUUGGAGGGGAAAAGACAGAAUACACAUAGAGUGAGAUAAAUACAAAAAAAAGUAUGAGGGAGGAAAGAAAGAGAAGAAAAUAAAAAGAGUUAUGAAAAAAAAAGAGAGAAAUAAGAAAGGGGAGUGAACAAAGAGAGAUUAUAAAAGGAGGGAGAAAACACAAAAAAGAGAACACAGUUAGAGAAAGAAGGAGAAAUGAGAGAGAACAACAAUCGCACAAAUUCAGAUUCUUUGACAAAGCUUCGCCAAAAUCAUUUCCUCACCAAUGAAACAAAAAUCGCUCACCCAAAAACUCAUAAAAACACCAACCAAACCCACCCAAAACUCCAUUAAUGAUGAUAACCCAUCAAAACCGAUCCCUUAGUACCAAUUCCAGUAAAUUUUGCUGAAAGCCCACCUAUCUCUUUGGAAAAUAAUAAUAACUCUAAUUCUCAUUGAUUACUACCAAAACAAAUAAUGACCAGUAUACCCCAUCUCCAAAAUACUUCAGAAAAAAUAAUUGGGUUUGAGCAAAACCCAGUUCUUGGUCAAAGUUAU